UUUUUGGGCUGAUUCCUUAAGAUAGAAAAAGGCUGAAAACACAAUAAGAACAGAAAAUAGAUUAGAUAAUGAUUCAGCACAAGUAGAAAUAAAGAAAGAAUUGACAGUAAGAAAUUAAAAGAUAAGUCCUAAGAAACCUUGAAAUCUCGAAAGAUCUCACAACUCCCUUCAAACGGCUCUAAUCUCCCCUCCAAAGAAUAUCAAUGGCAAGAAGAAGGUUG
rnacentral:lncRNA from 1 species